rnacentral:misc_RNA from 1 species
AAACCUACUCAAGUAAUUUUACUUGGAUGUGAAGGAAGAAUACUUUUUAAAUAAGGAGUUCUCCUUUGAAAUUGAUUAGCAGAUGGUAUAAAAUCCUGACGUUGCAAGAUUUUAAUCUUUCGAAGGUGAUUUUAUUAAAAAUAUUAUCUUGCUUCAAAUCCAUUUAUUGGCAUAUAUAGUUAAAAUAUACUAUAUUGUUGACAGUAAAUUUUUUAUA